AGCGAACGCUGGCGGCAGGCCUAACACAUGCAAGUCGAACGGCAGCACAGUAAGAGCUUGCCCUUACUGGUGGCGAGUGGCGGACGGGUGAGGAAUACAUCGGAAUCUACUUUUCCGUGGGGGAUAACGUAGGGAAACUACCCCUAAUACCGCAUACGACCUACGGGUGAAAGCAGAUGAUUUUCGGACCUUGCGCGAUUGCAUGAGCCGAUGUCGGAUUAGUUAGUUGGCGGCGUAACGGCCCACCAAGGCGACGAUCCGUAGCUGGUCUGAGCGGGUGAACAGGCCCACUGGAGCUGAAACACGGACCAGACUCCGAAAGGAGGCAAGACUGGGGACGCUAGGACAAUGCGCGGAAGCCUGGUCCAGCGAGACCACCUGGGUGAAGAAAGCCGUCGUGUUGCAAAGCCCUUUUGUUGGGAAAAAACAAAAGCAGGAAAGGACAUGCCUGUUCUGACGGUACCCAGAGAAAAAGCACCGGCUAACUUCGUG
rnacentral:rRNA from 1 species